CUUUUAUUUCACAAUUUUCAUAUAUUUUUCAUUGCUUAUUUGCUUUCUAUCUUUGAUCAACUGAUACCCAUCUCAAACUCAAAUUGCUUAUAUAAUAUGACUUGGGAAGAGUAAAGUAGGACUAUUUUUAAUUCUUUAUGGUGUCUGAAGUGUCUAAACUUGAUCAUCUUUCCUGAAAUAUUUCUGCAAGUAUUUGGAGUGUGAAGAGAAACAAUGCCAAGCAUUGCAAAGAUUUUGCUGAGGUCAAUACUGAAAAUGGUAAAUUUUGUAAUGGGAAUAGUUGGGAUUGCAAUGGUUCUAUAUGGGCUUUGGAUGGCAAGAGUCUGGCAGAGAGACAUAGAAGCCUCAUCAUCUAUUGAUGAUUAUGAUUCUACUGCUCCUUGGUUUAUAUACACUUUUCUCAGCAUUGGCAUUACCUUGUGCCUUGUAACAUGCAUUGGCCAUAUUUCUGCAGAUAGCUCAAAUGGUUUCUGCCUUUCUUGUUAUACAGUUAUUAUCAUGGUGAUUCUCUUGUUGGAAAUGGCAGUUGCAGCUGAUAUACUCCUAAAUUCUGACUGGGAAAAGGAUUUGCCUGAGGAUCCAACAGGAAGAUUCCAUGAUUUUAAACAAUUUGUGGAAUCAAACUUUGAUGUCUUCAAAUGGAUAGGUUUGUUAAUUAUCUUAGCUCAGGGAUCUUGUAUCUUGUUGGCAAUGGUUUUGAGAGCUCUUGGACAAAAUCAUGGAUCCAACUAUGACAGUGAUGAUGAAUACCCUCCUGCCAGGCUUCCACUGAUUAAUCACAAUUUACAGCCACCUUCAUUUGUUGUUGGAGAUCCCCACUUUCCCCCCAAGAAUGAUGCAUGGAAUGCAAACAAGUGAAGAAAAUAGCUCAAGAUCAACAGAGUGUUGUCGAGGCAAAGGUUUAAAUUGAAUCAUCAAAUAUUAGACUUGAAGAUGGAAAUUGAUGAAGACCGAAGAAUUUUGUAGAAGUAAAUGUUAGCCAUUGUUGUAAUUGGGACUUUCAAGCCCACACCAACUGUUUUUUGAAACCUAAUUAAUGUUUAGGAAUGACUUUUCAGCCCAAACCCAGGCCCAACAACUGCUUUAUUUCUUUAUUUCUUUAGAAAAAUGCUUUUAAGUCGACAUGUUUUUCUUAAUUUAAGAUAUAAUAAAAAAUUUAGAAUAGAAAGUUCCAAACAAGUAUUAAUGGGUGAAAAAUGAAAUAAGAGGACAUAAAAUAUGCAAGCACAGAGCAUUGGGAACAUAGACUGAUAGACAAGCUCUUUGCAAAUGAAGAAUAAAUAAUCAACUAAACCUUUUAGCCAAAGACUACAAUAAAUAUUCCGAACUGUUACAGACUGUAGUUUUUUUUUUUUUUCCCCUUAAAGAAUGAAAAGCAUUAUCCCAUUUGCCAACGAGGGAGGAGGAAAAAAAAAUUAAAGAAAUGACAA
rnacentral:misc_RNA from 1 species